UACGGAGGAGGCAAGCGUUAUCCGGAAUUAUUGGGCGUAAAGCGCGCGCAGGUGGUCUUUCAAGUCAGUGGUGAAAGCCCGGAGCUCAACUCCGGAAAUGCCAUUGAAACUGUAAGACUUGAGGAUGAGAGAGGUGAGUGGAAUUCCCAGUGUAGAGGUGAAAUUCGUAGAUAUUGGGAAGAACACCGGUGGCGAAGGCGGCUCACUGGCUCAUAUCUGACGCUCAGGCGCGACAGCGUGGGGAUCAAACAGG
rnacentral:rRNA from 1 species